rnacentral:rRNA from 1 species
UACGAAGGGGGCUAGCGUUGUUCGGAUUUACUGGGCGUAAAGCGCACGUAGGCGGGUCGUUAAGUCGGGGUGAAAUCCUGGAGCUCAACUCCAGAACUGCCUUCGAUACUGGCGACCUUAGAGUCCGGAAGAGGUGAGUGGAACUCCUAGUGUAGAGGUGGAAUUCGUAGAUAUUAGGAAGAACACAGUGGCGAAGGCGGCUCACUGGUCCGGUACUGACGCUGAGGUGCGAAAGCGUGGGAGCAACAGGGAGUUAGAU